UACGUAGGGGGCUAGCGUUGUCCGGAAUCAUUGGGCGUAAAGCGCGUGUAGGCGGUCCGGUAAGUCCGCUGUGAAAGUCGGGGGGCUCAACCCUCGGAUGCCGGUGGAUACUGUCGGGCUUGAGUACGGAAGAGGCGAGUGGAAUUCCUGGUGUAGCGGUGAAAUGCGCAGAUAUCAGGAGGAACACCAAUGGCGAAGGCAGCACUCUGGGACGUGACUGACGCUGAGACGCGAAAGCGUGGGGAGCAAACAGG
rnacentral:rRNA from 1 species